CUCCUACGGGAGGCAGCAGUGGGGAAUAUUGGACAAUGGGCGGAAGCCUGAUCCAGCAACGCCGCGUGAGGGAUGACGGCCUUCGGGUUGUAAACUUCUUUCAGUAGGGACGAAGCGCAAGUGACGGUACCCACAGAAGAAGCACCGGCCAACUAACNGNCAGCAGCCGCGGUAAUACGUAGGGUGCGAGCGUUGUCCGGAAUUAUUGAGCGUAAAGGGCUCGUAGGCGGUUUGUCGCGUCGGGAGUGAAAACACUGGGCUUAACUCAGUGCUUGCUUCCGAUACGGGCAGACUAGAGGUAUUCAGGGGAGAACGGAAUUCCUGGUGUAGCGGUGAAAUGCGCAGAUAUCAGGAGGAACACCGGUGGCGAAGGCGGUUCUCUGGGAAUUACCUGACGCUGAGGAGCGAAAGUGUGGGGAGCGAACAGGAUUAGAUACCCUGGUAGUCCACACCGUAAACGUUGGGCGCUAGGUGUGGGGUCCAUUCCACGGAUUCCGUGCCGCAGCUAACGCAUUAAGCGCCCCGCCUGGGGAGUACGGCCGCAAGGCUAAAACUCAAAGGAAUUGACGGGGGCCCGCACAAGCGGCGGAGCAUGCGGAUUAAUUCGAUGCAACGCGAAGAACCUUACCUGGGUUUGACAUACGCCGGAAAGCCGUAGAGAUACGGCCCCUUUUAGUCGGUGUACAGGUGGUGCAUGGCU
rnacentral:rRNA from 1 species